rnacentral:piRNA from 1 species
GUAGCAGGAACAUGGGAGGACCAU